GAUAUAUACCGAGGCAUUGUGCAAUAUUAAUGCAGUGGCACUAUUUUUGGGUGGAAUGAAUAAGCGGGCUCCAGCCUGGCAGGACUCCAGAAUGUUGGGAUUAAUUGCUGCAGUGGGUGAUUCAGCACCUGCAGUAGAACACGGUGGCAAUCUGAAUCUGAGCCACAUGGUGACUGUUUGAUCAUAUUUCACUGCCAGAUCUGCAGAGGCUGCAACCAACAAUUUGCCCACUGAAAAACAAGCUUUCUCCAGCCAGACUCUGAUAUAGUAUAAGGCCACCUCCACAAGCCCCAUCAUGACACAUUCUGACAGAUGUAUUAAGAUAGAAAAGACUAAAACCAGACACACACAUAUGUACACUUUAAAAGAGAAAUCUAUCUUAUUUUCUUCUGCUGACUGGCUGCCUUAAAUUGGAAAGAAUAGCAUCCACGUUUUUGAGCAGAGUGUGUUCAUAUGCCCAAAUGCCAUGAGUCCUUUGCGUCAUGCACUUUUGGUGGUCCAAGCAAGCAGGCAGUGCAACCAAAUCUCCAGAGUAAGUAACAAUCAGGAAGAUUGUUUUCACCAAAAUUGCACUGCACUGUUUGAUUGUUACUAACGCGCCCACUUCCGUGCCCCUCCUUCCACGUGGUUCAUAGGGCGACACCGUAACACCCAACAGGAACUGGUGAGAAAAUAACCUGGGUGUAGUGGGUGAAAAUGCCACUUUAGCAGCACAAAAGCACCCACAUACUCUAUGCAAUGUCACGAAAAUAGAGCCCUCUGUCCUUUCAGAGAUGUUCUGAGACGUACCAGGGUACAUAAAAGUCAGAAAUGGAGAGGGAAAAAUAGGUUGAAAUACACCUCUCUCACCUACCCACAGAACCAGUUGAAAUCAUGAAAGAUUGGCGACUUGCAGAAUCCAAACAAGAUGCCUUUUGUAAAAGUAAAUUUGUCUUGUUGGGUGUGUUCAAAUGAAUACUAUAUCUCUAUGAUGUGAUUACUUCCUAAAAAAUGUUAAUUCACACUACAUGGGAUUCAAUGCAGGUCAACGCAUCUACAGGAUAUACAAUGCAUUUUGUAUUUGGGAAGUGCACUUCUGUGGUCCAUGCAUUACAGGUUGAAAAGCAGAAAUAGAGGUUCCUGCUCCCAUAUUUUCCAGUUCAGGCCCAGCUUUGUCACCACUGUUUCAGUUCUUUGUAAUUCUUGCACUGGGUCACUCACUGCAGGCCACUCAAUCACUCCUUCACUCGCCGUGUUCUCCAUGACAAAUAGAUGUGUUCCUGCCAAGCUCUUCUUAAACAAAUGAAUGUGUUUUCUGCCACCAGACCAGACCUGGGGGUUUUCUUUUUUUUUUCCUUUUUUGCUGAAACAGGCAAAACACCUUGUUGUUUGUCACUUCAGAGGUCUACUGUAUAUCUCACUCCUCUGGGCGAUAGGUAUUUUUCAGGAAGACAGAUUAAUACAUCAGUUUCCUAUUCUCUGCUCACUGCACUACAAAUAACCUGCUCAUAUCUAUACAUAGCCUGCCUUCUGCACUUGUUUUAGAAGAUAAACCACACCUAAGCACUGUUCCCCCUGACUUACUUAAAUCUGUUAUCUUGCUAUUUUAUUUCCCUUUUAUUACAAAGACAGAAAAACACCUGAGUUUCUUUGCAUGAUAAAUACACAUAUUGUAUAUGUUAGCCAGAACAGAAAGAGAACAGAAGACGCUGGAGUGGUGUAAAUCACACACUGAUUUGUAUUUCAUUCCUAUACCCUUCCAAAACAUGUGAACAUAAUAUAUCCAACAAACCCUAACUCCAAUAAACUAAGCUAUUUGUUAGCACACUCCAAAA